rnacentral:tRNA from 1 species
GCCUGGGUGGCUCAGUCGGUAGAGCGUCCGACUUCAGCUCAGGUCAUCUCACAGUCUGUGAGAUCGAGCCCCGCCUCGGGCU